CCUACGGGUGGCAGCAGUGGGGAAUAUUGGGCAAUGGGCGCAAGCCUGACCCAGCAACGCCGCGUGAAGGAAGAAGGCUUUCGGGUUGUAAACUUCUUUUCUCAGGGACGAAGCAAGUGACGGUACCUGAGGAAUAAGCCACGGCUAACUACGUGCCAGCAGCCGCGGUAAUACGUAGGAGGCAAGCGUUAUCCGGAAUUACUGGGUGUAAAGGGAGCGUAGGCGGUAAUGCAAGUCUGGAGGGAAAGGGGGGGGCCCAACCCCCGGACUGCUCUGGAAACUGGGUGAUGUGAGUGCAGGAGAGGCAGGCGGAACUCGUGGUGUAGCGGUGAAAUGCGGAGAUAAUAGGAGGAAGACGGGGGGCGAAGGCGGCCCGCUGGACUGUAACUGACUGUGAGGCUCGAAAGCGUGGGGAUCAAACAGGAUUAGAGACCCCUGUAGUC
rnacentral:rRNA from 1 species